rnacentral:rRNA from 1 species
UAGUACGAGGCUGAUGUAGCUGACGCCUGUUCGUCCUUGGAUCCUGACUUUGAUUCUGGCUCAGGACGAACGCUGGCGGCCGUGCUUAACACAUGCAAGUCGAACGAGAAUCUACUGAAAGAGUUUUCGGACAAUGGAAGUAGAGGAAAGUGGCGGACGGGUGAGUAACGCGUGAGGAACCUGCCUUGAAGAGGGGGACAACAGUUGGAAACGACUGCUAAUACCGCAUGAAGCAUAGGGGUCGCAUGAUCUUUAUGCCAAAGAUUUAUCGCUUCAAGAUGGCCUCGCGUCUGAUUAGCUAGUUGGCGGGGUAACGGCCCACCAAGGCGACGAUCAGUAGCCGGACUGAGAGGUUGAACGGCCACAUUGGGACUGAGAUACGGCCCAGACUCCUACGGGAGGCAGCAGUGGGGAAUAUUGGGCAAUGGGCGCAAGCCUGACCCAGCAACGCCGCGUGAAGGAAGAAGGCUUUCGGGUUGUAAACUUCUUUUAAGAGGGAAGAGCAGAAGACGGUACCUCUAGAAUAAGCCACGGCUAACUACGUGCCAGCAGCCGCGGUAAUACGUAGGUGGCAAGCGUUGUCCGGAUUUACUGGGUGUAAAGGGCGUGCAGCCGGGUCUGCAAGUCAGAUGUGAAAUCCAUGGGCUCAACCCAUGAACUGCAUUUGAAACUGUAGAUCUUGAGUGUCGGAGGGGCAAUCGGAAUUCCUAGUGUAGCGGUGAAAUGCGUAGAUAUUAGGAGGAACACCAGUGGCGAAGGCGGAUUGCUGGACGAUAACUGACGGUGAGGCGCGAAAGUGUGGGGGAGCAAACAGGAUUAGAUACCCUGGUAGUCCACACUGUAAACGAUGAAUACUAGGUGUGCGGGGACUGACCCCCUGCGUGCCGCAGUAAACACAA